ACGUUGAAACACCGGUUCCCGUACUAUCACCGAAGUUAAGCAAUGUCUAGUCUCAUUAGUAUUUAGGUGGAUAACCGUUUAGGAAUACCAGGUGCUGUAAG